GACGAACGCUGGCGGCGUGCUUAACACAUGCAAGUCGAACGGAAAGGCCCUGCUUUUGUGGGGUGCUCGAGUGGCGAACGGGUGAGUAACACGUGAGUAACCUGCCCUUGACUUUGGGAUAACUUCAGGAAACUGGGGCUAAUACCGGAUAGGAGCUCCUGCUGCAUGGUGGGGGUUGGAAAGUUUCGGCGGUUGGGGAUGGACUCGCGGCUUAUCAGCUUGUUGGUGGGGUAGUGGCUUACCAAGGCUUUGACGGGUAGCCGGCCUGAGAGGGUGACCGGCCACAUUGGGACUGAGAUACGGCCCAGACUCCUACGGGAGGCAGCAGUGGGGAAUAUUGCACAAUGGGCGCAAGCCUGAUGCAGCGACGCCGCGUGGGGGAUGAAGGCCUUCGGGUUGUAAACUCCUUUCGCUAGGGACGAAGCUUUUUGUGACGGUACCUAGAUAAGAAGCACCGGCUAACUACGUG
rnacentral:rRNA from 1 species